UACGUAGGGGGCGAGCGUUGUCCGGAAUCACUGGGCGUAAAGCGCGCGUAGGCGGCGCGGUGCAUCCCUCGUGAAAGCGCCCGGCUCAACCGGGCGAGGCCGGGGGAGAUGGCCGCGCUGGAGGGCGGUAGAGGCAGGCGGAAGGCCCGAAGUAGUGGUGAAAUGCGUAGAGAUCGGGCGGAACACCGGUGGCGAAGGCGGCCUGCUGGGCCGGCCCUGACGCUGAGGCGCGAAAGCCAGGGGAGCCGAACGGGA
rnacentral:rRNA from 1 species